rnacentral:pre_miRNA from 1 species
UUUAAAAAAAACUCCGUUUCACUUCAUUUAUUAGAAAUGAUGGCGUUGCGAGCUUUUGAUGGCCGGCCCACGCCAAUAAGCCUGUCCAAAAGCUAUGGCAGAGGGGCGACCAUCGAAUUUUCAAAGUGUUCCCCUCAACA